UUGGAGAAAGUUGGUCAUGUUUUCAGGCAUCCAGUGUUGCAGCUUUGUUGGAGAGCCAGUCUAUUCUUAAGCCUGCUCAAGGGUUGAUGCGGAAGGCCAACAGUUUGUCAGAGUGCAGAUUGUUGAGGGUGCGCAGGUCUGGCAGGCGCAGGAGGAGUUUGGGGAAGAGGGCGGUGUCAUCUGGGCGACGGCGAGUGAUCAGUGACCGCAGGGCACGGAUCAGACCCUCCUGUAGCUGCUCCACAGCCCGCAUGUCCAAGAUGCCAGAACGGUCUGAGGAGCACAGAGAAUAGACCAGCACAACAGCCAUAAAGAGGGCCAUUUCAUCAGGCUCUAGCCCCAGGGAGCCCAACUUCUCACUGAAGUCAAACAUUGCAUCCAGCAGAGAGC